rnacentral:rRNA from 1 species
AGAGUUUGAUCCUGGCUCAGAACGAACGUUGGCGGCGUGGAUUAGGCAUGCAAGUCGAACGCGAAAGGGUAGCAAUACCCGAGUAAAGUGGCGAACGGGUGAGUAACGCGUAGGAAACCUGCCUUCGAGUGGGGGAUAACACUCCUAACGGGGUGCUAAUACCGCAUGAAACUAAGGGGUCGCAUGGCCCCAUAGUCAAAGGUGGCCUCUAUUUAUAAGCUACCGCUCAAAGAUGGUCCUGCGUCCCAUUAGCUAGUUGGUGAGGUAACGGCUCACCAAGGCUUCGAUGGGUAGCCGAUCUGAGAGGAUGACCGGCCACACUGGGACUGAGAUACGGCCCAGACUCCUACGGGAGGCAGCAGUCGAGAGGCUUCGGCAAUGGGGGAAACCCUGACCGAGCGACGCCGCGUGGAGGAUGAAGGCCUUUGGGUUGUAAACUCCUGUCAUGUGGGAAGAAACGCUACCGUUCGAAUAGGGCGGUAGUUGACGGUACCACAAGAGAGUC